rnacentral:lncRNA from 1 species
CAAGAGUGGCCCAGUGGUUUGUCCGUCAUUUGGGUAAGGCUCUGGGGUUUAGCUAGGUUUUCUCCCUAGUUCGAGUCCCAGCAGUUACAACACCUGGUGGCCAGCGGCAGACUCAGUUCUGUGAGUGGGAAUUAAUCGAGGUGUGCGCAAGCUGGCCCUGACAUCUCAUGGUACUUACCAAAAAAAAAAUUGCCAAAAAUUUUCAUCAACUGCAUAGUGGAGUAGGACCACGCAAAAACUCCAAUGUAACACUUUUACAACAUUUAUACAAAUAUUCCAAUAGAGCCAUAAUAUAGUAUCAAUUUUCAUUAUUCAAUUCCUACAUAGAGCCAUAACCACAUUUACCAAGCCUUAAUAUAGUAUCAUCCACUAACAGAAAGCACAAUAGUACAUAUAUAAAAGUCAUUGACACAAUCCUCAUUUUUUCGAACAGACCCAACUAUUCCAACAGACAAACCCAUAUCCCCAAAUUUUCGAACAGAC